rnacentral:tRNA from 1 species
AUUGCUUAGUCGGUAAAGCACUUGUGUACCAUAUAAGGGUCGUGAGUUGAAAUCUCACU